rnacentral:rRNA from 1 species
GUCUAUAGCCAUGCCACCUUGGAUGUUCUUGACCUCAUCUGAUCUCAUAAGCUAAGCAGGCUCAGGUCUGGAUGGGAGACUGCAUCAAGGCACCUAACUGCCUUCUCCAUAGGCU